UCACGGUGUUAAUUAAUUUGAUUAAUGAAUGCUUGAUUUACAUAUCUCUUUGAAAUUUCAUGAUUUCUACAAACUCAUUAAUGGGUAUCUUCAGCUUCAUAUGAAUUGGUGUAUAAUUGAAUUUUUAGAGCAUCUCCAAUGGGACAUCCUCAAUUUCCUAAUAUUAAGACCACACAGGAUUUUUCAAGUUUUUAACAAAAAUCCUUCUCCAACGGGAAUGUGAGGAUUAAAUGUAAGGGUGAUGUAUAAGGUAGUUACUAACACAUCCUUAAACUCAUCCUCUAGUUUUAGAGGUUCUUGUGGAGGAUGUAAACAUCCUAGUCACUAGUAUAUACGGUUAUUAACAAUUAGAUUAAAUAUUUAAUUUCAAAAUCAAAGGAUUAAGAGUUUCUUACCAAUGUAAAGAAUUUUAUGGUCGGAGAUCAUCAUUCUGAAAUUCCUAAUUCCAAUGUAAAGAUUUUUUAAUGUAAAGAUUUUUAUGGAAAUAUUAGACUUUAAGUUUCCAAAGGAUGUCUUCCUAUAUCAACCACAUAGGAAGCACAUCACAACGGGUUGAAGAUGCUCUUAGAUGAAUUUGUUUGUUUUUUUUUUUACUCAUUUCAUUCUUGUUAAUGUUAACGUCUUCUUUAUUUUUCAAUACGGCCAUCUUUACUAAAAACGUUCAUGCAAAUCCUUAAUUGAAUAUUUGGAAUGUCUUCUGAGUUCUGAUCGUGAAUUUGACAAACUUUGUUCAUUAACUUUUUUCAAAUUACCUACGUCUUUAACGACUUUGUACAACCAAAUUUUGGUUUGGGAUCCUAUAAUUUUAGUGUUUUAUUCUUACGUAUUGCGCUGCAUGUAAUUUCAAAUGUACAAAAUGACUUCGUGAAGAUUUGGAAAAUGUUUUGCAUCUAUCAAAUUUUGUUUUCUCAUCUAAAAUCAAGCCAUGCGUGGUUUUUCUAAACUUGCCUAUUUUCUGUUUGUUAAAAUGACCAAGUGAGAAUUGUAUUUAAAACUCCAUUUAUGGCCAAAAAUCGAAUCCUUAAGAGUAUUAGUAUGCAUGUGGUCUCGUUGAUUUCUAAUAAUAUCUCAAUACUUUCCGGUAUGGGUCAAUUCGAUUAGUUGAUUAUUUGAAAUAUCUCAUUCGUCCAGGAACUUCAGUCCAAUUCUUUUUAUUAUAUUUUCCAUGAAAACGUCAUGAUUCAAGACUUGGUCUCACUGUUUAUUGAUACCUCCAUCUCCUUAUCACAAGAAUUCUUGCUGGAACAGGAAAUGAGUACGAGAGGAACUUGUAGCAGUAAGCCGGGCAGAGCUUACGGCAGGCUUAUAGCGCUUUGAAAGUUAGUAUUUUGUUAAGCUUAUGAUAUUGUAUAUCACGGGGUCAUCUGGGCAGUUAUUUUUUAUUUUAGUCCCAUGUCAUUUUUCUUUGGUCAUCAGGGCAGUUAUUUUUUAUUUUAGCCCCAUGUCAUUUUGCUUUGUUUUGGUGUUGGGAUCUUGUACAGAAUCUUUGUGGAAUGUAUGGAACUUGGUGGUGUAAUGAAGGGAAGGUCUGACCUUUAGGUGUCUAAAGAAUCAAUUAUAUCACUCAUUUUGCUGUCAAAUCUAAAAGUGUGCAUCUUCUGUUUAUA